UUAGAGUUUGAUCCUGGCUCAGGACGAACGCUGGCGGCGCGCCUAACACAUGCAAGUCGAACGAGCGAGAGAGAGCUUGCUUUCUCAAGCGAGUGGCGAACGGGUGAGUAACGCGUGAGGAACCUGCCUCAAAGAGGGGGACAACAGUUGGAAACGACUGCUAAUACCGCAUAAGCCCACAGCUCGGCAUCGAGCAGAGGGAAAAGGAGCAAUCCGCUUUGAGAUGGCCUCGCGUCCGAUUAGCUGGUUGGUGAGGUAAUGGCCCACCAAGGCGACGAUCGGUAGCCGGACUGAGAGGUUGAACGGCCACAUUGGGACUGAGACACGGCCCAGACUCCUACGGGAGGCAGCAGUGGGGAAUAUUGCACAAUGGGGGAAACCCUGAUGCAGCGACGCCGCGUGGAGGAAGAAGGUCUUCGGAUUGUAAACUCCUGUUGUUGAGGAAGAUAAUGACGGUACUCAACAAGGAAGUGACGGCUAACUACGUGCCAGCAGCCGCGGUAAAACGUAGGUCACAAGCGUUGUCCGGAAUUACUGGGUGUAAAGGGAGCGCAGGCGGGAAGACAAGUUGGAAGUGAAAUCUAUGGGCUCAACCCAUAAACUGCUUUCAAAACUGUUUUUCUUGAGUAGUGCAGAGGUAGGCGGAAUUCCCGGUGUAGCGGUGGAAUGCGUAGAUAUCGGGAGGAACACCAGUGGCGAAGGCGGCCUACUGGGCACCAACUGACGCUGAGGCUCGAAAGUGUGGGUAGCAAACAGGGUUAGAUACCCUGGUAGUCCACACCGUAAACGAUGAUUACUAGGUGUUGGAGGAUUGACCCCUUCAGUGCCGCAGUUAACACAAUAAGUAAUCCACCUGGGGAGUACGACCGCAAGGUUGAAACUCAAAGGAAUUGACGGGGGCCCGCACAAGCAGUGAAGUAUGUGGUUUAAUUCGACGCAACGCGAAGAACCUUACCAAGUCUUGACAUCCCUUGACGAUACUGGAAACAGUAUUUCUCUUCGGAGCAAGGAGACAGGUGGUGCAUGGUUGUCGUCAGCUCGUGUCGUGAGAUGUUGGGUUAAGUCCCGCAACGAGCGCAACCCUUACUGUCAGUUACUACGCAAGAGGACUCUGGCAGGACUGCCGUUGACAAAACGGAGGAAGGUGGGGAUGACGUCAAAUCAUCAUGCCCUUUAUGACUUGGGCUACACACGUACUACAAUGGCGUUAAACAAAGAGAAGCAAGACCGCGAGGUGGAGCAAAACUCAGAAACAACGUCCCAGUUCGGACUGCAGGCUGCAACUCGCCUGCACGAAGUCGGAAUUGCUAGUAAUCGUGGAUCAGCAUGCCACGGUGAAUACGUUCCCGGGCCUUGUACACACCGCCCGUC
rnacentral:rRNA from 1 species